AGCAGCCGCGGUAAUUCCAGCCCCAAUAGCGUAUAUUAAAGUUGUUGCAGUUAAAAAGCUCGUAGUUGAAUUUCGGGGUUAGUAGGUUGGUCAUGCCUCUGGUAUGUACUGGUCUCACUGAUUCCUCCUUCCUGAUGAGCCGUAAUGCCAUUAAUUUGGUGUUGCGGGGAAUUUGGACUGUUACUUUGAAAAAAUUAGAGUGUUUAAAGCAAGCUAACGCUUGAAUACAUUAGCAUGGAAUAAUGAAAUAGGACGUUCGAUCCUAUUUUGUUGGUUUCUAGGAUUGACGUAAUGAUUAAUAGGGAUAGUUGGGGGCAUUAGUAUUCAAUUGUCAGAGGUGAAAUUCUUGGAUUUAUUGAAGACUAACUACUGCGAAAGCAUUUGCCAAGGAUGUUUUCAUUAAUCAAGAACGAAAGUUAGGGGAUCGAAGACGAUCAGAUACCGUCGUAGUCUUAACCAUAAACUAUGCCGACUAGGGAUCGGAUGAUGUUAAUUUUUUAAUGACUCAUUCGGCGCCUUACG
rnacentral:rRNA from 1 species